UGGGGAAUUUUGGACAAUGGACGCAAGUCUGAUCCAGCCAUUCCGCGUGCAGGAUGAAGGCCCUCGGGUUGUAAACUGCUUUUGUACGGAACGAAAAGCGCCUGGUUAAUACCUGGGCGUCAUGACGGUACCGUAAGAAUAAGCACCGGCUAACUACGUGCCAGCAGCCGCGGUAAUACGUAGGGUGCAAGCGUUAAUCGGAAUUACUGGGCGUAAAGCGUGCGCAGGCGGUUAUGUAAGACAGGUGUGAAAUCCCCGGGCUUAACCUGGGAACUGCAUUUGUGACUGCAUAGCUAGAGUACGGUAGAGGGGGAUGGAAUUCCGCGUGUAGCAGUGAAAUGCGUAGAUAUGCGGAGGAACACCGAUGGCGAAGGCAAUCCCCUGGACCUGUACUGACGCUCAUGCACGAAAGCGUGGGGAGCAAACA
rnacentral:rRNA from 1 species